GAGCUUUCGUGGCUUCUCACCUGGAGAUCCUCUGACUUUUAAUCAGAGGGUCCUGGGUUCGAGUCCCAGCGCGCUCACCA
rnacentral:tRNA from 1 species